GACGUAGGGCGCGAGCGUUGUCCGGAUUUAUUGGGCGUAAAGAGCUCGUAGGCGGCUUGUUGCGUCGUCCGUGAAAACUCGAGGCUCAACCUCGAGCCUGCAUUCGAUACUGGGCGGCUAGAGUCUGGUAGGGGGAUCUGGAAUUCCUGGUGUAGCGGUGGAAUGCGCGGAUAUCAGGAGGAACACCGGUGGCGAAGGCGGGAUCCUGGGCCAGUACUGACGCUGAUGAGCGAAAGCGUGGGGAGCAAACAGG
rnacentral:rRNA from 1 species